rnacentral:tRNA from 1 species
GAGGGCAUAGCUCAGUGGUAGAGUGCAUGCCUAACAUAAAUAAGGUCCUGGGUUCAAUCCCCAGUACCCCCA